rnacentral:rRNA from 1 species
UGAGGAAUAUUGCGCAAUGGGGGCAACCCUGACGCAGCAACGCCGCGUGAGUGAGGAAGGUUUUCGGACCGUAAAGCUCUGUCGAGCGGGAAGAAAUGCAUGGUGGCUAAUAUCCAUCAUGCUUGACGGUACCGUUAAAGGAAGCACCGGCUGACUCCGUGCCAGCAGCCGCGGUAAUACGGGGGGUGCGAGCGUUGUUCGGAAUUAUUGGGCGUAAAGAGCGUGUAGGCGGCUGAAUAAGUCAGAUGUGAAAUCCCUGGGCUUAACCCAGGACGUGCAUUUGAAACUAUUCGGCUAGAGUAGGGGAGAGGAAAGUGGAAUUCCUGGUGUAGAGGUGAAAUUCGUAGAUAUCAGGAGGAACACCGGUGGCGAAGGCGACUUUCUGGCCCUAUACUGACGCUGAGACGCGAGAGCGUGGGUAGCAAACAG